AGUGACAGCCCAGGGCUUCCUCAGACCAGAAGAACCUGGUUUCCAGCGGCAGGAGCCUGCGCAGGGGCUGUGCCCUGCGGAGCAGCCUACUGGAAGCUGCUGCGAACCCACCUCCGGGGACAGCCCGCCUUCCAGCACGGGCUGUCGUGGUCUUUUUGCCAAGGUGAACCUGACCUCGGGUGGGGGGCGAAUGAGGGAGGUUGUCAGCCCCGCCCCCCGCCCCAGCCCCGCGCCGAUGAGUGUUGGGGCUGCAAAUAGCCCAUCGGAAUCCGUGACUCACGAGGCUGGAAAUACUGCGCCCCCAUCUCCCCUCCCUGCUCCGACUGUGGCCGCCAAGGAAGCUGCCCUGGAGAGCAGCCUGGUACUCUGAUUUCAGUAGUUUCUGGGGGCUGGGAGGAGCGAGGGGACCCCCAGAACAAUCCAGGCUCACAGCCACCCAGCACCCUACCCUGCGGUGGCCCUACCCCAUGGUUCCAGUAGGCUGUGUCUUCGGAGCUGUGUGACCUUGGGCUAAUUACUUUGCUUCUCUGGGCUUCAGAGGCCCUAUCCAGAAGGACUUCCAAAGAGUGACGUUGUGGCCCUUGGCUUAGGACAGUGCAGAACACAGUGCUGGGUACAGAGUCCAGCUCAGACAUUCCUCUUGAACUAAACCAUGAACACGGAGGGAAGGGCAGGCGGCCAGAAGACGGGACGCUAUUAGCGUCUCUGUAGGAUAAAGCCAAGAUGUCUGUGCGCAGCUUUGGGGAGGCAGCCUCCCUCUCCCCCAGGCAUGGAAGCCUCUUAGACCUCUCUCCCCAGCCCAGAAGUCCUUUCUACCCACUCUGCCCCUCCACCUGGGUGGAACUUCAGGUGAGGUCUCCACGAGUCUGUCAUACUGUCCUUUUAUUGUGUACAGGUUAUAGAGACCAGAUUCCCAUGUCCCCCCACCCUCCCUGUGCCCAGAGCCCCAAGACAGCAGGAGACAGAGGCCUCAGGGACCCCAACCAGCUCUCUCACACCUGCUUCUACAAGUGGGAGACCUAGUUAGAGCCCAGGUCCCCCAGGGUUAAGGCUGACAAGGAUCUUUGCCCCGGAUUUGGGAGGCCAGAGGGGGUCUGUGUUGGGGCCCUUCCUGUGGCCUCCCUCUGCAUUGCGACAGGUGAGCUGGCCAUGUGGCUCUAGAGAGGAGGAAUGAGGGAGACUCUCCCCAGUGCAGCGGUGAGAGGCUGAGAGUGGCUGAGGCGGUGCUGGGUUCAAAGCCAACCUUCAGGGACAGAGUCAAGUAGCCAACUGGCUCAGAGUCACCCAGGAGCCUGGAGCUCUGGCGAGAGGGAGAAGGACCUGCUCUCCUCACCCCAUCCGGCCCAAGGCACCAGCAGGUGGAGGGAGACAGGAGCCUCGCGUCACCUUAAUGAACUCCAUCUGGUCCACCAAAGUCAACAGCGCUGCCUGUGGCCAACCUCUCACAUAACACUCGCCAGGAGGGACCCAGGUCCCCUGCCCCACAGAAAUGCCACUGGUGUCGCUCUGUCCUACAGAUCAUUUCCUCAGAGGCUCAGUC